UGAAAAGAAAAUCGUAAAUCUAAAACUUUCAGAUUUACAAUGGAUGAAAACCUCUCUUCCAUUCAUAGACAAAACAAAACUCAUUGAUUUCCCAAAAAACUGCAGGAAUUAUGCUUGAAAGUCCUUAUUCUCCUCACUCGGCAGCAGAUGCUCAUUUUCAGAAGGGAUGAAUCAGCAAUCUAUGUUGCAAUUCCACCAGAAGAGUUGGAUUUCAAUUCUUUUUUAAAAAGCAGAGGUUUCCACAAGAAAGGAUGAAUUCAAUUUUUUUUUAGAUACGGCAGGUAUGCUACGAAGCACAACAACGGGAGUUUAAAAUUUGUUGAAUAUUAAUUGUAUUUGUAUAAGGAUGCAGUGCAUAUUGUGGCAGACAGUGUUUGGCAUAACAAAUGCUACAAAAAUUUCAAUUCUUUUGUUUGAAAUUUUGUUGUACGAAUGCUAUUCUUUUAAAUCUACUAAAUUUAAAAAUUGAUUUGUUUAACGUUAA